CUUGGUCAUUUAGAGGAAGUAAAAGUCGUAACAAGGUUUCCGUAGGUGAACCUGCGGAAGGAUCAUUACUGAGUGAAAGGCUUGAACAGAGCCCCAUCUCCCAACCCUUGUCUUCUGUACCCACUUUUGCUUUGGCAGGCCCGCCACUAUUUGGCCGCUGAAGGAUUCUUAGUUAUAAAUUAUUAGCUAAACCUUGGGCCUGUGCCUGCCAGGGAACUUAAAUACGUGUUAUGAAUCUGGUUUGUCUGAGCAUUCUAAGAAAAUAAACUAAAACUUUCAACAACGGAUCUCUUGGUUCUGGCAUCGAUGAAGAACGCAGCGAAAUGCGACAAGUAAUGUGAAUUGCAGAAUUCCGUGAAUCAUCGAAUCUUUGAACGCACAUUGCGCCCUCUGGUAUUCCGGAGGGCAUGCCUGUCCGAGCGUCAUUGCUAUACCUCAAGCCCGGCUUGUAUGUUGGGCUUACUGUCUUGUUGGGACAGUAGCCCUAAAGGCAGAGGCAGGGUCGUUGUCCGGUCUUUUCAAUGCGUAUGGGGCAUUGUCACACGCUUAAAGGCUGACCGACCCUUUAUGCCUAUUGUGGAUUUUUAUCCUCUAUCAAUUUUUUUCUGAUAGACCUCGGAUCAGGUAGGGAUACCCGCUGAACUUAAGCAUAUCAAUAAGCGGAGGA
rnacentral:rRNA from 1 species